GACGUAGGGGGGCAAGCGUUGUUCGGAAUUAUUGGGCGUAAAGCGCUCGUAGGCGGGACUGGAAGUCCGUGUUGAAAGACCUCGGCUCAACUGAGGGACCGGCUCGGAUACUCUAGUUCUUGAGGCAAUCAGAGGGUGAUGGAAUUCCCGGUGUAGCAGUGAAAUGCGUAGAUAUCGGGAGGAACACCAGUGGCGAAGGCGGCCUUCUGGACCAGUACUGACGCUGAGACACGAAAGCGUGGGGAGCAAA
rnacentral:rRNA from 1 species